rnacentral:lncRNA from 10 species
CGAGGACUGGGUGGAGGUCCAGGAGUCAUUCCCAGGGGCCUCACCUCUGCUGUGGCUUCUGCUCCUCGUCCUUGCUUCUGGGGGGCCCUAAGGACAGUCGGGGUGUGAAUUAAGGAGACCUUCUUCCUAGCCUCUCCUGACAGCUUCCCAGGUCACCCCACCCUGCCCCUGAGACCUACCCUGCUUUAUCUGAUUCUGGCGAUGGAGGCAGAAGAGGACCAGGAGGAGGAGACAGAAGAGGAAGACCACUGAGACCCCGAUGAGAAUAUACAGAUGCUCAGCUUUCAGGCCUUGGGAAGCAGGUGCAUCUAAGAAAGACAGAAACAGGAUUUCAGCAGUGUGCAUUUAUUGAGCACCUACUGUAUACCACACACACGUCACGUGCGUUUCAUAGACUUACUAAUAUAUAAAAUAUCUUAGGUAAAUAAUAGUCCUGCAGUACAGGGAUCGUUAUCCCCUUCUUCCACCACCGGGGUCCUGAGUGCUGGAGUCCUCUGCACAGGGACACAGACUGCCAUUGGCAGAGCAGGAAUCUGAUCAACCCCAAAGCCUGACCUCUUUCUCCUUCCCCAAGAGGCACACACCAGCUUCAUGCUCCACGGCCCCCAUCACUCACGCUCAUUGUGACUGUUGUCCGACGGCCUCUGCGUGGGUCCUGGGAGGGAGGAAUCAGAAGGAGGAGGAGUUAGAGUCCUGAGCUGGACAGAGAAGGCUCUGAGUCCUCCCACAUCCACUGUGGGGAUCUCCCUUCACUCCCCAGGACCCUGACUGCUCCCUCUAGACCAGCACCGACCAGCAGAGUCUUCUGUGAUGAUGGAAACUUUCUACAUCUACUGUCCAGCAUGAGAGUCACACAUAGCUAUUGAUAUUUAAAUUUAUCCAAAGUUGAAUGGCAUGAGAAGCUGGCUGCACCGUCUGCACCUCCAGGACUCAGUGACCCCACGGGCCUGAUGCCAUCCCUACUGGACGGUGCAGAUACAGCGCGUUUCCUGGGCGUGAAGCUGUAGUAGACAUCGCUAAUUUCUGCCCUCUGCGGAUCUAGGCAGAGACCAACCACCCGCAACAAGAGGAAGGGAGACCUUCCCUCCCUGACCUCCUUCUGGGUUCCCACCAGAGGGCAAGAAUCCUCAUGUCUGAUUUUAUCUGCCCUCCCGGCAACCCUCUGACGGGGAUGUAACCCGCCCUCCUGUGGGAAGAAUCCAAGUCCCGAUGUGCUCCUCUUUCCUGAAGCCCUGCAGCUAGCGGGCGAGUGUGUGGGGCACCGCCCAGGCUCCCUACGCAGCGCAUUGCAGGCCCGCCCGUCAUCUCCUCCAACCUUCACCCUCCUCUGCACAGUGCACGCCACUACCCAAUUCCCAGUUCACAAGACGGGAGGCCAUUUCUCCUCAUUCUUGGUGCAUCAAAUCCGG